rnacentral:rRNA from 1 species
AACGUAGGAGACAAACGUUAUCCGGAGUUACUGGGCGUAAAGGGCGUGUAGGUGGUUUCGUAAGUCUGGCGUGAAAUAUCUCGGCUUAACCGAGGCAGGUCGUCGGAUACUGCGGAACUGGGAGGACGGUAGAGGGGGUGGAAUUCCCGGUGUAGUGGUGAAAAUGCGUAGAGAUCGGGGAGGAACACCUGUGGCGAAGGGCCGGCCCCCUGGCCCGGCCCUGACACUGGAGACGCGGAAAGGCGUGGGG